rnacentral:ncRNA from 3 species
AGUGGUGAUAGAGGUGCGGACUUCAAUAGUACGGUUCACGGAAGAGUAUGAGCUCUGGAGAUGUGACCGGAAAGGGGAGGACCGCCGAAGUGAAGCCGCACUCAUAUCGGCUGCGCUGGUUCUGCAUUUAAUAGAUGCAGGAUUGUCAAGAUGAUUCAUCUUGGAGAGCUAUCUCACAA